UACAGAGGGUGCGAGCGUUGUUCGGAAUUAUUGGGCGUAAAGAGCUCGUAGGCGGUUUGUCGCGUCUGCUGUGAAAUCCCGAGGCUCAACCUCGGGCUUGCAGUGGGUACGGGCAGACUAGAGUGCGGUAGGGGAGACUGGAAUUCCUGGUGUAGCGGUGGAAUGCGCAGAUAUCAGGAGGGAACACCCGGUGGCGAAGGCGGGUCUC
rnacentral:rRNA from 1 species